CACGGGGGGAGCAAGCGUUGUUCGGAAUCACUGGGCGUAAAGGGCGUGCAGGCGGUCAGGUAAGUGAGAUGUGAAAUGCCCCGGCUCACCCGGGGACCGGCAUCUCAUACUGCUUGGCUUGAGUACGGGAGAGGAUGUGGGAAUUCCUGGUGUAGCGGUGAAAUGCGUAGAUAUCAGGAGGAACACCGGUGGCGAAGGCGCACAUCUGGCCCGAUACUGACGCUGAGGCGCGAAAGCUAGGGGAGCAAACGGG
rnacentral:rRNA from 1 species